AGAGUUUGAUCAUGGCUCAGAUUGAACGCUGGCGGCAGGCCUAACACAUGCAAGUCGAACGGUAACAGGAAGAAGCUUGCUUCUUUGCUGACGAGUGGCGGACGGGUGAGUAAUGUCUGGGAAACUGCCUGAUGGAGGGGGAUAACUACUGGAAACGGUAGCUAAUACCGCAUAACGUCGCAAGACCAAAGAGGGGGACCUUCGGGCCUCUUGCCAUCGGAUGUGCCCAGAUGGGAUUAGCUAGUAGGUGGGGUAACGGCUCACCUAGGCGACGAUCCCUAGCUGGUCUGAGAGGAUGACCAGCCACACUGGAACUGAGACACGGUCCAGACUCCUACGGGAGGCAGCAGUGGGGAAUAUUGCACAAUGGGCGCAAGCCUGAUGCAGCCAUGCCGCGUGUAUGAAGAAGGCCUUCGGGUUGUAAAGUACUUUCAGCGGGGAGGAAGGGAGUAAAGUUAAUACCUUUGCUCAUUGACGUUACCCGCAGAAGAAGCACCGGCUAACUCCGUGCCAGCAGCCGCGGUAAUACGGAGGGUGCAAGCGUUAAUCGGAAUUACUGGGCGUAAAGCGCACGCAGGCGGUUUGUUAAGUCAGAUGUGAAAUCCCCGGGCUCAACCUGGGAACUGCAUCUGAUACUGGCAAGCUUGAGUCUCGUAGAGGGGGGUAGAAUUCCAGGUGUAGCGGUGAAAUGCGUAGAGAUCUGGAGGAAUACCGGUGGCGAAGGCGGCCCCCUGGACGAAGACUGACGCUCAGGUGCGAAAGCGUGGGGAGCAAACAGGAUUAGAUACCCUGGUAGUCCACGCCGUAAACGAUGUCGACUUGGAGGUUGUGCCCUUGAGGCGUGGCUUCCGGAGCUAACGCGUUAAGUCGACCGCCUGGGGAGUACGGCCGCAAGGUUAAAACUCAAAUGAAUUGACGGGGGCCCGCACAAGCGGUGGAGCAUGUGGUUUAAUUCGAUGCAACGCGAAGAACCUUACCUGGUCUUGACAUCCACGGAAGUUUUCAGAGAUGAGAAUGUGCCUUCGGGAACCGUGAGACAGGUGCUGCAUGGCUGUCGUCAGCUCGUGUUGUGAAAUGUUGGGUUAAGUCCCGCAACGAGCGCAACCCUUAUCCUUUGUUGCCAGCGGUCCGGCCGGGAACUCAAAGGAGACUGCCAGUGAUAAACUGGAGGAAGGUGGGGAUGACGUCAAGUCAUCAUGGCCCUUUCGACCAGGGCUACACACGUGCUACAAUGGCGCAUACAAAGAGAAGCGACCUCGCGAGAGCAAGCGGACCUCAUAAAGUGCGUCGUAGUCCGGAUUGGAGUCUGCAGCUCGACUCCCUGAAGUCGGAAUCGCUAGUAAUCGUGGAUCAGAAUGCCACGGUGAAUACGUUCCCGGGACUUGUAC
rnacentral:rRNA from 1 species